rnacentral:lncRNA from 13 species
CUGGUCUUGAACUCCUGAACCAACUCCUUGAUCUUGGAGUUCCAGCCUCCACAACUGUGAGGAAGAAAUCCUGUGGUUUAAGCCACCUGAUCUGUGGCAUUUGUUAUGGCAGCCUGAGCUGACUAAUACACCUCAUUUGGAUCUGGAACAUGCAAUCUGCCUGGGCAUCUUGUGGUCAGACCGUCCUUUCUGCAGUCGAGUUUCUCAAUGACAAGACUGUUAUUUUGCCCAUUUUGUGGAUGAAAAACCCAGAACCCCAAAACGGAAAUAAUUCAUCUGAGAUCACUUAUUAGGACUCAAGCUUUAAUACCUGGUGUGUCUGACUCCAGAAUUCACAUCCUUACAACUGCUUCAUAUCCACCCACCCCCCCCAAAUCUUGAUGCAUAUAGGUAUCUCCUGAACAAAACGCAUCUUCCCUGAGCCUGAAAAUGGUGGAGAUGAGGUGUGGAUUUCUGAAAAGGAGCAGAGAGACACCUUUUUGCAGGUCGGAGAUGGCAUAUGAGAGACUUGCAUUCCUCCAGCUGUCCCCCCUAUUCCUACAGCUGUUUUCAUUUUAAAGUGGCAAAUGGGGAAGAUGCUUCCUCAGGGCUUCCCAAAGACCUGGAUAUUGGCUGACAAGAGGGCCAAUUUUCUCAUUGACAUUCUUCUUCUUAAUAGAAAUUGGCCUGCAAAACAUCUGCUUAAUAUUUUCCAAAGUUGAAUCCCUGCAAACUCUACAACCCAACGCCUGGUGUUACAGUGGAGGGUCUUUACAAGUCAUCCAAAUUCUUGCUGUUUUGAACAAGAAGUUGGAGAACACACAAAAGAAGCAAUUAAAGAAUGAAGCAAUGAAAGCACAGAUUUAUGUAACAAAAGUACACUCCACAGAGUGGGAGGUGGCUCGAGCAAGCAGUUCAAGAGCGCUGGUUACAGAAUUUUCUGCGGUUUAAAUAACCUCCAGAGGUUUCCAUUGGUUACUUGGUUACACCCUAUGUAAAUUGUAAGACUUGGCCUGCAACAAGUCUGAUAGGUUGCAGCAGGCAACCAAUCAGAGGGGGAAGUGAAGUUAAUUUACACAUGAAGACUUGGCCCCAGCCGCUGGAGGGGACCAAUCACAGGUACUUUCCAUUUUUAAUCUGCAAGGCAGUGCAAAGGGGAGUAGCCCCCAAUUCUUUUGUUACUUGAGUGUAGAGAGGUGGGAUUUUCCUCUGGAUUCAGUUCUAGGAAGUUAGCACAAAUCAACCUCAGGUUCCCUGUCUCCAGACUCUGUUCUG